rfam:Parcubacteria bacterium GW2011_GWA2_56_7 TY95_C0014, whole genome shotgun sequence.
AUCUAGAGCAUCAAGGGCAUACGGAGGAUGGCUCGACAAAACAUGCUGAUGAAGGACGUAGCAGUCUGCGAUAAGCUUCGGGGAGGUGACAAGCAACCUUUGAUCCGGAGAUUUCCGAAUGGGGCAACCCGACGCGGGGAACGCCGCGUCAUUCUGUACUGAACACAUAGGUACAGGAAAGGCACCCGGUGAAGUGAAACAUCUCAGUAGCCGGAGGAAAAGAAAAAGAUUUACUCAUUGUAUAGACACAGACCCACAGCAUCCGGGUUUGUGUCUAUCACAAUGAGUCCAUUCCCCUAGUAGUGGCGAACGAACGGGGAAAAGCCCAAACGUCUUACGUGAAGCGCUCGACAAUCGACUGCCGCAAGGCAAGAGAGCGUCGGGUGUGAAAGGUGAGGGCCGUUGCGUAAGGCGCGUUGUAAGAUAUACGUAUUCUCAACCCUCUUUUGAGAGACGAGCGAAGCAAGAUAUAGAAAAAUCCGCUGGAAAGCGGGACCAAAGAAGGUGAUAGUCCUGUAUUCGAAAUAUCUCUGUUUUCUCGUGACGUGCAUUCUUGAGUACCUCGGGACACGUGAAAUCCUGGGGGAAUCUGGCGCGACUAUGUGCCAAGGCUAAAUACAUGUUUUGAUCGAUAGUGAACCAGUACCGUGAGGGAAAGCUGAAAAGCACCCCGAGAGGGGAAUGAAAUAGUAUCUGAAACCGUAUGCCUACAAGGAGUCGGAGCCCUGAGAUUCGUCGAAGGGUGACGGCGUUCCUAUUGAAGAAUGAGCCAACGAGUGUGCUGUAUGUCGCUUGGUUAAGUCCUCCGGGACGAAGCCAGAGUGAAAGCGAGCGUGAAAGCGCGAACGGAAUAUAUUCUUAGGGGCCUUGCCCUUAAGAAUAUGUUCUACAGUGGCAUGCACACGACCCGAAACCGGGUGACCUAACCAUGGGC